ACCAGUGCUCUUUGUGUGUGUUUGUGUGUGACUGACAAGUAUCUUUGACGAGGGGCCAGGAGCUGAUCUACUCUGCAAUGCCUAUCAAUGCGGUGAUGGCAAAGACCUUACCUCCAGUCUCACCUCUUGCCUGCUCACCAACGGUCGUCAAUGGGGAGAACAGAGUUAGAUACAUCCAUGGAGCCAGCACUUGGAGACUUGCAAGAUGAUGUGAUGGAGUCCUGACCAACAGGCUUGAAACUGACGUCUCUAAAUGGAGAGCGACCUGGGCCUUCAUUUAUAAACGUUGUGAAAGCACAGAAUAUGCCCCAAAACAUGCAUGCCAGUUUUCAUGCAAAAGUUGGCAUUUAUCAAAAAGGAACAUGACGUGAAUAUGUGCUUAUCCUCCAGCAAACUUUAGACCACGCGUACACACGGUUUCUAGGGGUUGAAGUAUUGCAAUGCAAGAAGGCAAAAGUAGCCUAUGUGCAAAUGGGGAAUAUAAGAUGACACUCUUAUUCAUAACACAAAACAAGUAGCUAAAUAUUAUAACAAGAUGCAAUCAUUUGCUGUUAGUGAGAAGAGUGAAAAUCUAUUUAUUUUUUCUUUGUAUCCUAAAAUAAUUAGAAAUAUAUUUCUGAUUAUUUAUUUCAUUUCCAUGAUCAUUGCAGAAUAAAUUCCUCACCUUUUCUGAC